rnacentral:rRNA from 1 species
GUGGGGAAUAUUGGACAAUGGGCGAAAGCCUGAUCCAGCCAUGCCGCGUGUGUGAAGAAGGUCUUCGGAUUGUAAAGCACUUUAAGUUGGGAGGAAGGGCAGUAAGUUAAUACCUUGCUGUUUUGACGUUACCGACAGAAUAAGCACCGGCUAACUUCGUGCCAGCAGCCGCGGUAAUACGAAGGGUGCAAGCGUUAAUCGGAAUUACUGGGCGUAAAGCGCGCGUAGGCGGUUUUGUAAGUUGGAGGUGAAAUCCCCGGGCUCAACCUGGGAACUGCCUCCAAAACUGCAUGACUAGAGGACGGUAGAGGGUAGUGGAAUUUCCUGUGUAGCGGUGAAAUGCGUAGAUAUAGGAAGGAACACCAGUGGCGAAGGCGACUACCUGGACUGAUACUGACACUGAGGUGCGAAAGCGUGGGGAGCAAACAGGAUUAGAUACCCGAGUAGUCC